rnacentral:tRNA from 1 species
GGGACGGUGGCUCAGUGGUAGAGUGCUUGCCUUGCAUGCAUGAGGCCCUGGGUUUGAUUCCUCAGUACCA